rnacentral:misc_RNA from 1 species
UGCCAUUAUCAGAAGAAAAAAGACAUCUCAGUUUUUCUUCCAUUGUUUGCUUUAACUGAUGAAAAGAACGAAAGAUCAUAACCUCUCGUGCAUGGAGAGAAGAAUCUCGAUAAUAUAGUUGGAAUUUGGUUUAUAUUCCAAAUCUGUAAAAUGCUUUAAAAAGCCAUUAUAGAUACCUUGCUGUUCACUUGCAUGUUGAGAAGAA